rnacentral:rRNA from 1 species
GACGAACGCUGGCGGCGUGCUUAACACAUGCAAGUCGAGCGAUGAAGCUUCCUUCGGGAAGUGGAUUAGCGGCGGACGGGUGAGUAACACGUGGGUAACCUGCCUCAAAGUGGGGGAUAGCCUUCCGAAAGGAAGAUUAAUACCGCAUAAUAUAAGAGAAUCGCAUGAUUUUUUUUAUCAAAGAUUUAUUGCUUUGAGAUGGACCCGCGGCGCAUUAGCUAGUUGGUAAGGUAACGGCUUACCAAGGCAACGAUGCGUAGCCGACCUGAGAGGGUGAUCGGCCACAUUGGAACUGAGACACGGUCCAGACUCCUACGGGAGGCAGCAGUGGGGAAUAUUGCGCAAUGGGGGAAACCCUGACGCAGCAACGCCGCGUGGGUGAUGAAGGUCUUCGGAUUGUAAAGCCCUGUUUUCUGGGACGAUAAUGACGGUACCAGAGGAGGAAGCCACGGCCUAACUACGUGC